rnacentral:rRNA from 1 species
GCGUAAGCGCGCGCAGGUGGUUUCUUAAGUCUGAUGUGAAAGCCCACGCCUCAACCGUGGAGGGUCAUUGGAAACUGGGAGACUUGAGUGCAGAAGAGGAAAGUGGAAUUCCAUGUGUAGCGGUGAAAUGCGUAGAGAUAUGGAGGAACACCAGUGGCGAAGGCGACUUUCUGGUCUGUAACUGACACUGAGGCGCGAAAGCGUGGGGAGCAAACAGGAUUAGAUACCCUGGUAGUCCACGCCGUAAACGAUGAGUGCUAAGUGUUAGAGGGUUUCCGCCCUUUAGUGCUGAAGUUAACGCAUUAACCACUCCGCCUGGGGAGUACGGCCGCAAGGCUGAAACUCAAAGGAAUUGACGGGGGCCCGCACAAGCGGUGGAGCAUGUGGUUUAAU